GUGCUCACUUUGCAGCACAUACAUUAAAAUUGGACCGAUAGAGAGAAGAUUAGCAUGGCCCCUGCGCAAGGAUGACAUGCAAACUUGUGAAGCGUUCCAUAUUUUU
rnacentral:snRNA from 1 species